AUUGAACGCUGGCGGCAGGCCUAACACAUGCAAGUCGAGCGGAGCGGCGGACGGGUGAGUAAGGCCUAGGAAUCGGCCUGGUAGUUGGGGAUAACGACCGGAAACGGGCGCUAAUACCGCAUACUAUCAGCCGAGCCUAGGGGGGAUUAGCUAGUUGGUGGGGUAAAGGCCUACCAAGACGACGAUCCGUAACUGGUCUGCGAGGAUGAUCAGUCACACUGGAACUUAGAAACGGUCCAGACUCCUACGGGAGGCAGCAGUGGGGAAUAUUGGACAAUGGGCGAAAGCCUGAUGCAGCCAUGCCGCGUGUGUGAAGAAGGUCUUCGGAUUGUAAAGCACUUUAAGUUGGGAGGCGUUACCAACAGAAUAAGCACCGGCUAACUUCGUGCCAGCAGCCGCGGUAAUAC
rnacentral:rRNA from 1 species